rnacentral:rRNA from 1 species
AGUGAACGCUGGCGGUAGGCCUAACACAUGCAAGUCGAACGGCAGCACAGUAAGAGCUUGCUCUUACGGGUGGCGAGUGGCGGACGGGUGAGGAAUACAUCGGAAUCUACUUUUUCGUGGGGGAUAACGUAGGGAAACUUACGCUAAUACCGCAUACGACCUACGGGUGAAAGCAGGGGAUCUUCGGACCUUGCGCGAUUGAAUGAGCCGAUGUCGGAUUAGCUAGUUGGCGGGGUAAAGGCCCACCAAGGCGACGAUCCGUAGCUGGUCUGAGAGGAUGAUCAGCCACACUGGAGCUGAGACACGGUCCAGACUCCUACGGGAGGCAGCAGUGGGGAAUAUUGGACAAUGGGCACAAGCCUGAUCCAGCCAUACCGCGUGGGUGAAGAAGGCCUUCGGGUUGUAAAGCCCUUUUGUUGGGAAAGAAAAGCAGCAGGUUAAUACCCCGCUGUUCUGACGGUACCCAAAGAAUAAGCACCGGCUAACUUCGUG